AAGGAAGAAGAAGAAGAUGAGUGCGGAUCCAAUCCCUUCUUCGAACUCCCAUAGCCAGCUCGAUGGGUAGAUUUCUCAGCUCAUGCAGCGCAAACCCCUCUCCGAGCAAGAAGUAGAGACGGCUGAGACUGUAACGUGCAUGAAUGAACCAGGUUGGAUCCCUGGAUGUCUUACUCUCGCCUUGUAAACCUCACUUGGUAAUUUUUUAAAAAGAAAAAAAAAAGUGCUCAUCUUGUUCAGGCCAAGGCUCUUGAGUGGGAUUUGGAAUGGGUCAGGCCCAUCUCAGCUUGGAAGGUGGGUAGGUAGCUGAAAGCCCUACCAACUGUCAUCCAUGAUUUGCCAGUAAACUCUAAAUGCUACCUAAAAAAUAGAAGAAUAGUUCUCUUAUAUGUUUGAAUAUUUUCAAAUCUUUCAUGAUUCCACAGGCAAUUAUUCAUCCAGAAGCAAUCAUUUUUAAAUAUUUGAUUUGUUAGCUAGUAUAGGCAACCUUUAUUGGGGAAUGUAAUGCAUCAUGAAUGCCAUGAAGUUGGAAGUUGCUAUUGCUUGUACAUUCUGGAUUUGUUUUUUAAAAUGAAUUAGCAAUAAAUGAUAACUAACACUAAUUUCUGAACUAAA